UACGGGGGGGCAAGCGUUGUUCGGAAUUACUGGGCGUAAAGGGCUCGUAGGUGGCCAACUAAGUCACACGUGAAAUCCCUCGGCUUAACCGGGAACUGCGUGUGAUACUGGAUGGCUUGAGUUUGGGAGAGGGAUGCGGAAUUCCAGGUGUAGCGGUGAAAUGCGUAGAUAUCUGGAGGAACACCGGUGGCGAAGGCGGCAUCCUGGACUAAUACUGACGCUGAGGAGCGAAAGCCAGGGAGCAAAGCGGG
rnacentral:rRNA from 1 species